GCCAUAGCUCAGAGGUGGAGCAUCUGCUUUGCAUGCAUAAGGUCCCAGGUUCAAUCCCCAGAUAAGGCA